rnacentral:sRNA from 1 species
ACUGGACAUGGUGGUGCAUGCCUGUAAUCCCAGUGACUUGGGAGGCUGAGGCGGAAGGAACUCAAGUUUGAGGCCAGCCUCAGCAACUUAGACUCUGUCUCAA